rnacentral:rRNA from 1 species
UUUUAUUUGAGAGUUUGAUCCUGGCUCAGGAUGAACGCUGGCGGCGUGCCUAACACAUGCAAGUUGAGCGAUUUACUUCGGUAAAGAGCGGCGGACGGGUGAGUAACGCGUGGGUAACCUACCCUGUACACACGGAUAACAUACCGAAAGGUAUGCUAAUACGGGAUAAUAUAUUUGAGAGGCAUCUCUUGAAUAUCAAAGGUGAGCCAGUACAGGAUGGACCCGCGUCUGAUUAGCUAGUUGGUAAGGUAACGGCUUACCAAGGCGACG